GAGCCCGUGGCUCAAUGGUAGAGCGUUCGACUCAAAUACCAAAGGUCGCGGGUUCN
rfam:Schistocephalus solidus strain NST_G2 genome assembly, scaffold: SSLN_scaffold0006817